rnacentral:rRNA from 1 species
AAUAGAUACCCCGGUAGUCCAUGCCGUAAACGUUGGGCACUAGGUGUGGGGCUCAUUCCACGAGUUCCGUGCCGCAGCAAACGCAUUAAGUGCCCCGCCUGGGGAGUACGGCCGCAAGGCUAAAACUCAAAGGAAUUGACGGGGGCCCGCACAAGCGGCGGAGCAUGCGGAUUAAUUCGAUGCAACGCGAAGAACCUUACCAAGGCUUGACAUGCACGGGAAGCCACCAGAGAUGGUGGUCUCUUUGGACACUCGUGCACAGGUGGUGCAUGGUUGUCGUCAGCUCGUGUCGUGAGAUGUUGGGUUAAGUCCCGCAACGAGCGCAACCCUCGUCCCAUGUUGCCAGCGGGUUAUGCCGGGGACUCAUGGGAGACUGCCGGGGUCAACUCGGAGGAAGGUGGGGAUGACGUCAAAUCAUCAUGCCCCUUAUGUCUUGGGCUUCACGCAUGCUACAAUGGCCGGUACAAAGGGCUGCGAUGCCGUAAGGUGGAGCGAAUCCCAAAAAGCCGGUCUCAGUUCGGAUUGGGGU